CCUACGGGAGGCAGCAGUGGGGAAUUUUGGACAAUGGGCGCAAGCCUGAUCCAGCAAUGCCGCGUGCAGGAUGAGGGCCUUCGGGUUGUAAACUGCUUUUGUACGGAGCGAAACGGUCUGCUUUAAUACAGUAGGCUAAUGACGGUACCGUAAGAAUAAGCACCGGCUAACUACGUGCCAGCAGCCGCGGUAAUACGUAGGGUGCGAGCGUUAAUCGGAAUUACUGGGCGUAAAGCGUGCGCAGGCGGUUAUAUAAGACAGAUGUGAAAUCCCCGGGCUCAACCUGGGACCUGCAUUUGUGACUGUAUAGCUAGAGUACGGUAGAGGGGGAUGGAAUUCCGCGUGUAGCAGUGAAAUGCGUAGAUAUGCGGAGGAACACCGAUGGCGAAGGCAAUCCCCUGGACCUGUACUGACGCUCAUGCACGAAAGCGUGGGGAGCAAACAGGAUUAGAUACCCUGGUAGUCCACGCCCUAAACGAUGUCAACUGGUUGUUGGGUCUUCACUGACUCAGUAACGAAGCUAACGCGUGAAGUUGACCGCCUGGGGAGUACGGCCGCAAGGUUGAAACGUCAAAGGAAUUGACGG
rnacentral:rRNA from 1 species